rnacentral:rRNA from 1 species
GGCGACGAUGAGGGCCGUGCAUAGGCGGGUGGCCCAAGAAGUGCCUGGCCCCUCCGGUAGGGGGUCAGGACACUAAGCCGCCCGGUGGAUG